rnacentral:rRNA from 1 species
UACGAAGGGGGCUAGCGUUGCUCGGAAUUACUGGGCGUAAAGGGAGCGUAGGCGGCUCGUUAAGUUAGAGGUGAAAGCCCAGGGCUCAACCCUGGAAUUGCCUUUAAAACUGGCGGUCUUGAGUAUGGUAGAGGUGUGUGGAACUCCGAGUGUAGAGGUGAAAUUCGUAGAUAUUCGGAAGAACACCAGUGGCGAAGGCGACACACUGGACCAUUACUGACGCUGAGGCUCGAAAGCGUGGGGAGCAAACAGG